rfam:Heterocephalus glaber contig199279, whole genome shotgun sequence.
AGCUUUGCACAGUGGCAGUAUCGUAGCCAAUCAGGUUUAUCCGAGGUGCGAUUAUUGCUAAUAGAACACCCU